rnacentral:rRNA from 1 species
GAGUUUGAUUAUGGCUCAGGAUGAACGCUAGCUACAGGCUUAACACAUGCAAGUCGAGGGGCAGCAUUAUCUUAGCUUGCUAAGAUAGAUGGCGACCGGCGCACGGGUGAGUAACACGUAUCCAACCUUCCGGUUACUCGGGGAUAGGCUUUCGAAAGAAAGAUUAAUACCCGAUGUUGCGUAUCUUUCUCCUGAAAGAUACGCCAAAGGAUUCCGGUAACCGAUGGGGAUGCGUUCCAUUAGGCAGUUGGCGGGGUAACGGCCCACCAAACCUUCGAUGGAUAGGGGUUUUGAGAGGAAGGUCCCCCACAUUGGAACUGAGACACGGUCCAAACUCCUACGGGAGGCAGCAGUGAGGAAUAUUGGUCAAUGGACGGAAGUCUGAACCAGCCAAGUAGCGUGAAGGAUGACUGCCCUCUGGGUUGUAAACUUCUUUUAUACGGGAAUAACAUGAGGUACGCGUACCUUAUUGCAU